CCUCAGAUUAUCCUCCGUGCGGGCCGCCCAGUCAGUGGCGCUGUCACCGCCCCUUACCUCCUGAGGAGAGUUAAAGCGCAGCCGUCUCAGACCUUGCGGUGCCUUGUGCCCGCCGGAACCUGAUGGCGGCUGUGCGACAUUU
rnacentral:snoRNA from 1 species